rnacentral:rRNA from 1 species
CCAGCAGCCGCGGUAAUACGUAGGUCCCGAGCGUUGUCCGGAUUUAUUGGGCGUAAAGGGAGCGCAGGCGNUCAGGAAAGUCUGGAGUAAAAGGCUAUGGCUCAACCAUAGUGUGCUCUGGAAACUGUCUGACUUGAGUGCAGAAGGGGAGAGUGGAAUUCCAUGUGUAGCGGUGAAAUGCGUAGAUAUAUGGAGGAACACCAGUGGCGAAAGCGGCUCUCUGNUCUGUCACUGACGCUGAGGCUCGAAAGCGUGGGUAGCGAACAGGAUUAGAUACCCUGGUAGUCCACGCCGUAAACGAUGAGUGCUAGGUGUUAGGCCCUUUCCGGGGCUUAGUGCCGGAGCUAACGCAAUAAGCACUCCGCCUGGGGAGUACGACCGCAAGGUUGAAACUCAAAGGAAUUGACGGGGGCCCGCACAAGCGGUGGAGCAUGUGGUUUAAUUCGAAGCAACGCGAAGAACCUUACCAGGUCUUGACAUCCCGAUGCUAUUCUUAGAGAUAGGAAGUUACUUCGGUACAUCGGAGACAGGUGGUGCAUGGUUGUCGUCAGCUCGUGUCGUGAGAUGUUGGGUUAAGUCCCGCAACGAGCGCAACCCUUAUUGUUAGUUGCCAUCAUUAAGUUGGGCACUCUAGCGAGACUGCCGGUAAUAAACCGGAGGAAGGUGGGGAUGACGUCAAAUCAUCAUGCCCCUUAUGACCUGGGCUACACACGUGCUACAAUGGUCGGUACAACGAGUUGCGAGCCGGUGACGGCAAGCUAAUCUCUGAAAGCCGAUCUCAGUUCGGAUUGGAGGCUGCAACUCGCCUCCAUGAAGUCGGAAUCGCUAGUAAUCGCGGAUCAGCACGCCGCGGUGAAUACGUUCCCGGGCCUUGUACACACCGCCCGUCACACCACGAGAGUUUGUAACACCCGAAGUCGGUGAGGUANCCUUUUAGGG